UACGUAGGGGGCAAGCGUUGUCCGGAAUCAUUGGGCGUAAAGAGCGUGUAGGCGGUUCGGUAAGUCGGCUGUGAAAGUCCAGGGCUCAACCCUGGGAUGCCGGUCGAUACUGCCGGACUAGAGUUCGGAAGAGGCGAGUGGAAUUCUCGGUGUAGCAGUGAAAUGCGUAGAUAUCGAGAGGAACACCAGUGGCGAAGGCGAGUCCCUGGAAAACACCUGACACUGAGGCACGAAAGCUAGGGGAGCAAACAGG
rnacentral:rRNA from 1 species